GGCACAAUCUCUCACGUACGUCUACAUAAAUUUUUAUUGCUAAUUGUUAAUUCUUAAUCAUGACUAGCCAUGUACGUACUGUAUUACUGACUAAAAGGAGAUGCUAACUGCUGUGUUUUUUCAGUGUUGUGUAAUGAUUUAUGAACCAAGUAUUACCUUGUGAGGUCACUGUAGUAUGCUGAAGAAUUUUCAUGCGUACUGACUUCUUGAUUCAUUCGGUAUGGAUUAUAUUUAGAUAGAAAUUCAGUUAGUUUCUGAGUAUCAGAGGCAUCCACAUAGUGCUAGCAAUAACAUUUAGGAUUCACACUGCUGGAAUCAGGGGUGAAAUCAAAUGAGAAGGUCUAGGGUUUGUUUCAGAUUCAUAGCUAACUACAAAUAUUUUAGGCAACUGGCUUGAUUCCAGGUAUCUUAGAAUUCAAAUGUGAAUCCUUGUCAGAACUAGUCAGAAUGGGUUCCCUUUAUAGGAAAGUAACAGGAGGGAAAGAAACACAAGCAAGUGACAAUUUCUAUGACACAAGUAAUCUAUCCCAGAAUUAACUGUUAUCUAGAGAUACUCUAUAAUCAUAGAAUCAUAGAAUGGCCUGGGUUGAAAAGGACCUUAAAGAUCACCUAGUUUCAGCCCUCCUACCAUGGACAGGGCUGCCAACCACUAGACCAGGCUGCGCAGAGCCACAUCCAGCCUGGUCUUGAAUGCUUCCAGGGAUGGGGCAUCCACAACCUCCUUGGGCAACCUGUUCCAGUGCUUCACCACUCUCUGAGUGAAAAGCUUCCUCCCGAAUAUCUAACCUAAAUCUCACCUGUAUUAGUUUAAGACCAUUUCCCCUUGUCCUAUCACUAUCCACCCUUGUAAACAGCCAUUCCCCUUCUUGUUUAUACGCUCCCUUCAAGUACUGGAAGGCUUCAAUGAGGUCUCCCCAGAGCCUUCUCUUUUCCAAGCUAAACAAGCCCAGUUCCCUCAACCUUUCUUCACAGGAGAGGUGCUCCAGCCCACUGAUCAUCUUAGUGGCCCUCCUCUGGACCCACUCCAAGACCUCCACGCCUUUUCUGUACCAAGCUCCCCAGGCCUGGAUGCAGUACGCCAGUUGGGGCCUCACAAGAGCUGAGUAGAGGGGGACAAUCACCUCCCUCUCU
rnacentral:lncRNA from 1 species